UACGUAGGGGGCAAGCGUUGUCCGGAAUCACUGGGCGUAAAGCGCGCGCAGGCGGCGAUCUACGUCUGGGGUGAAAACCCGGGGCUCAACCCCGGGACUGCCUUGGAUACGGGAAGACUUGAGGAUCGGAGAGGCAAGGGGAAUUCCACGUGUAGCGGUGAAAUGCGUAGAGAUGUGGAGGAACACCUGUGGCGAAGGCGCCUUGCUGGCCGAUUUCUGACGCUGAGGCGCGAAAGCGUGGGGAGCAAACAGG
rnacentral:rRNA from 1 species